rnacentral:rRNA from 1 species
UACGGGGGGGGCAAGCGUUGUUCGGAAUUACUGGGCGUAAAGGGCUCGUAGGCGGCCAACUAAGUCAGACGUGAAAUCCCUCGGCUUAACCGGGGAACUGCGUCUGAUACUGGAUGGCUUGAAUCCGGGAGAGGGAUGCGGAAUUCCAGGUGUAGCGGUGAAAUGCGUAGAUAUCUGGAGGAACACCGGUGGCGAAGGCGGCUCUCUGGACCGAGACUGACGCUGAGGCGCGAAAGCGUGGGGAGCAAACAGG